AGCGGCGGACGGGUGAGUAACGCGUGGGUAACCUGCCUCAUACAGGGGGAUAACAGCUAGAAAUGACUGCUAAUACCGCAUAAGACCACGGUACCGCAUGGUACAGUGGUAAAAACUCCGGUGGUAUGAGAUGGACCCGCGUCUGAUUAGGUAGUUGGUGGGGUAACGGCCUACCAAGCCGACGAUCAGUAGCCGACCUGAGAGGGUGACCGGCCACAUUGGGACUGAGACACGGCCCAG
rnacentral:rRNA from 1 species